GGAGGAAGGCAUUGAUGCUUUCCCCAUAGACCCUACAGGCUUCUGGUUGGAGCCAUAAGGAAAUGAGAGGAAGAAUUAGCCUGUUUGUGUGACUGGGCUCCUGUAAAUAUUUUGAUACAUCUGCUGCCAGCUCCGGUCUAAGGGAAUCUACCUAGCAUUUAAAUUUUGAUGGGGAGCUGUUUUGAAUAAUAAGAGUGCAGCCGGCUGUGAGUCAGUGUGCAUGUGUGUUGACUGAAGGGAAGGGAGUGAAAGGGGGGGGGGGCUCAAAAGCUUUAACGUUUGCUGAACGGCGAGCUGCAGUGCUUCGCUUUUGCCUCCCUCCUCCUUUUUAGCUAGUAGAUAUUCCAAACAGAUUUNUGUGUGUGUGUGUGUGUACGCGCGCGCGCGCCUGUCUAUGUUCACUGGGAGGAGGGCGGAAUUAAAGAAAAAUAUAUAGCCCUUCACCCAGUAGCCGUUGCAAUGGGUGCUGUAAUGGGCACGUUUUCUUCUCUGCAAACCAAACAAAGAAGACCCUCGAGAGGAUUAUGCAAAAUUUGCUCCUUUAACUUAAAGAAGAUAAGAUGCACAGGACAUGUGAUUCCUCAGGUUCUUCUCGUAGAUGAAGACCUGGCCUGCCAAAAGUGGAACAGACUUUUUUGCUGUUGUGCUGCAGGGCCAGACUAG
rnacentral:lncRNA from 1 species